GCACUGUGGUUCUGCUCAUUUUAUGUGUUUUACUUGUUUUUAUCCAUUGUAUUGUGCUUUUGAGUGUGUUGGGGUGUUUUUAAUGCAUGUGUGGUUUUUAAAUUUUGUCUUACAGCCGUGACAAAAGAUGAAUUUAUGU